rnacentral:rRNA from 1 species
UACGUAGGGGGCGAGCGUUGUCCGGAGUUACUGGGCGUAAAGGGCAUGCAGGCGGUCUGACACGUUUUGUGUGACAGCGGGUGGCUUAACUACCCGAGGAUACGAAAGACGGUAGGACUUGAGGACUCGAGAGGGACACGGAAUUCCGGGUGGAGUGGUGAAAUGCGUAGAGAUCCGGAGGAACACCGAAGGCGAAGGCAGUGUCCUGGCGAGUGACUGACGCUGAGGUGCGAAAGCCAGGGGAGCGAACGGG